rnacentral:rRNA from 1 species
GACGAACGCUGGCGGCGUGCUUAACACAUGCAAGUCGAACGAAAAGGCCCUGCUUUUGUUGGUUGCUCGAUUGGCGAACGGGUGAGUGACACGUGAGUAACCUGCCCUUGACUUUGUGAUAACUUCAGGGGACUCGGGCUAAUACCGGAUAUGAUCUCCUGCUGCAUGUUGUUGGUUGGAAAGUUUCGGCGGUUGGGGAUGGACUCGCGGCUUAUCAGCUUGUUGGUGGGGUAGUGGCUUACCAAGGCUUUGACGGGUAGCCUGCCUGAGAGGGUGAACGGCCACAUUGGGACUGAGAUACGGACCAGAAUCCUACGGGAGGCAGCAGUGGGGAAUAUUGCAGAAUGGGCGGAAGCCUGAUGUAGAAACGCCGCGUGCGGGAUGACGGCUUUCGGGUUGUAAACCGAUUUCGAAUGUGCUGAAGAGUGAGUGACGGUAAUGGGUAAAGAAGCAACGGCUAACUACGUG